CCCGGCCUCGUUAACAUUAGUAUAGAACAUCUAUUAUGGUUAAUUAUGUUAGUACACAAAUUUUCAUUGAUCCGGAUAUAAUUCGUGUUUUCGCCUGAAUGAUUUUCUAUACUAGUAUCUUUGUUUACAAAGAAGGUAGAUAACACGUGCAGUGCAUAUAUAUGGAAUAUAAACUAAUUAGUGCUUUUUAUUCAAGGAAAUGUUUCCAAAAUAUUUGUUUUGAAAGGAUUAUUGAUAUGCCGUUAUCUUUUUCUGUUGUGAGUAUUCGAUUGAUAUGCAAAUGCGUUUUACCUGUUUACCAAAUAUAACUACAGUAAAAUCGGAUGCUAUUUUAAAUUGAAAGUAAUUUUCAUUUUCUGAGUGUUCUAAUGUCAGAUUAUAGAUUGUAACGUUAUGUUUUGGAUAACGUUAAACUAGUAUAAAAAAAAAUAUGUGGACAAAACAACAAAAAAGAGACGAAUAAUAUAUAGUACAAGUAAUAACCAUGAAAACAUAACAAAUACAUAUAAAACAACUGUUGACUGUUGUAUGAAAAUACAGUCAAAUCUCAACUCACAAUUGAUAAACACUAUAAUUUGCAUGCACAUACAUAAACAGGUAGUUAUACCUGUGCAGUGUUUGAAGAAAAGUUUCAGUAUAAUCUCAAUAUUUCAAAUAUUUACAUGUAUAUACAUAAACAGGUAAUUAAAUUUGUGCAAUGUUUGAAGAAAAUUACAGUAUAAUCUCUGUAUUUAGGUGAAUGAGUCAGACAUUCAGUUCAUUAAAUUGCUUUAAUAGUCUGUCAAUUUUAUAUCGUAAAAAGUUUCUUAUUUCAAUAAAAGUUCUGAUCUCUUGUCUUAAUAUUUUGAGUGGUUGUAUAACUUUUAUUUUUUUGUCAGACAUAUAGUAUACUUUAUAUAUUGUGUAACUGAUAAUAGUUAAAAGUAAAUUCAGUUCAUAGUACUCUUUAUCAUGUAUUUUAUAUCCCAAAAGCUAUGCUUUUUAGAUUGAUAACAUGUCUUCCAAUAUUUAAUUUCUUAAGAAUUUGUUGUACUUUUUCCCAAAAUAAUUCAAAAUAUGAACAUUUGAGGAAGAAGUGUUCAUAAUUCUCUAUUUGUUUACAGUGUAAGCAGGUAUCUGUUUCUACUAUAUGCCAUUGUUUUAAUAAUUGAUUACAGGGAAGUAUAUGAUGAAGUAGUUUCCAUCUAAAUAUUUUAUAUCUAUUAUCAUCUAAAAAUGUAAAGAUAAAUUUUAAAUGUUUCAUAUGCUAGAUUAGUAUUUUUCUAGUGUAAAGUAUGAUUUCCAUUUUAAAAAGCCAAUAGGUGUUUGCAUUUCCUUUGUUUCAAGUAAGAAGUUAUAAAUAUCAUGGUUAUUUAGGGUUUGAAUAGGCUUUUUGUUUAUGAUGUUCAGAUUUUCUUUUAUAUUUAUAUUGACUUGUGUAUGUUUAGAAGGUGAAUUUUUGAUGAUAUUGGGCCACUGUUUUGGAAUAGCUUUCUUCAGUUUUGUGAGCUCAGCUAUCCAGUUUUCCUUGUUUUUUAGUUUACUUAGUAUGAUGUCUGAGGAUAUAUUUCCAUCUUUAUCUAAUAAGUCAUUUAUAGCCAGAAUGUUGCUUUGUAUCCAGUUUUUAAACAGUAAACAUUUAUUGUUGAUGUUAAUAUAUUUAUUGCCCCAUAUUAUUUGUUUCCUUAUUUCCCAAAACAAUGUAGGCUUUUGUAUAGUUUUUUUCUUU
rnacentral:lncRNA from 1 species